CUAGGCUGGGCUCAGGUGCAGAUGAUUGCACAGCCAGGCAGCCUUCUCCUCAGGCAAAGCGGUUUCUUGCUCUGGUGUCAGGACUUUCCAUCUCUUCAGUUCCUUCCCCUUGUGCGCAGAGAGUCGACAACAGCAGGUUUCCCUAGGAUGCAGUCGACUCCUGUUCUUCCCAGCGUGAUGCAGCAAACAGGGCCUGGAUUGAAGUAACCAAUUUUAAUGAAAUCUGAUUUGCAAGGGGAUGUAUCUGAUCAUAUCCUCCAUCAUCAACGGCUGCCCUCUAAUUGUAUCUUAUACAAAAGAAGGUCACAGCACUCUCCUCUGCCCUGCUUGUUACCUGUACUACCUGCUCCAGCUUCUGCUUGGUAGGGCAUAUUCUUGCAGCAUCAGCUCUGCUGCAUUUGAAGGUGUGGAGACCUUUCUACUGAGAAGCUGACUUUUCCAAGCCUCCGAAAC